rnacentral:rRNA from 1 species
UUCUGGUUGAUCCUGCCGGACCUGACUGCUAWCGGAUUGAUACUAAGCCAUGCGAGUCGUUGUAGCAAUACAAGGCAUACGGCUCAGUAACGCGUAGUCAACCUAACCUAUGGACGGGAAUAACCUCGGGAAACUGAGAAUAAUGCCCGAUAGAACAUUAUGCCUGGAAUGGUUUAUGUUCCAAAUGAUUUAUCGCCAUAGGAUGGGACUGCGGCCUAUCAGUUUGUUGGUGAGGUAAUGGCCCACCAAGACUAUUACAGGUACGGGCUCUGAGAGGAGUAGCCCGGAGAUGGGUACUGAGACACGGACCCAGGCCCUAUGGGGCGCAGCAGGCGAGAAAACUUUGCAAUGUGCGAAAGCACGACAAGGUUAAUCCGAGUGAUUUCUGCUAAAGAGAUCUUUUGUUAGUCCUAGAAACACUAACGAAUAAGGGGUGGGCAAGUUCUGGUGUCAGCCGCCGCGGUAAAACCAGCACCUCAAGUGGUCAGGAUGAUUAUUGGGCCUAAAGCAUCCGUAGCCGGCUCUGUAAGUUUUCGGUUAAAUCUGUACGCUCAACGUACAGGCUGCCGGGAAUACUGCAGAACUAGGGAGUGGGAGAGGUAGACGGUACUCGGUAGGAAGUGGUAAAAUGCUUUGAUCUAUCGAUGACCACCUGUGGCGAAGGCGGUCUACCAGAACACGUCCGACGGUGAGGGAUGAAAGCUGGGGGAGCAAACCGGAUUAGAUACCCGGGUAGUCCCAGCUGUAAACUAUGCAAACUCAGUGAUGCAUUGGCUUGUGGCCAAUGCAGUGCUGCAGGGAAGCCGUUAAGUUUGCCGCCUGGGAAGUACGUACGCAAGUAUGAAACUUAAAGGAAUUGGCGGGGGAGCACCACAAGGGGUGAAGCCUGCGGUUCAAUU